rnacentral:rRNA from 1 species
UGCCAGCCGCCGCGGUAAUACGGAGGGUGCAAGCGUUAUCCGGAUUUAUUAGGUUUAAAGGGUGCGUAGGCGGAAAAUUAAGUCAGUGGUGAAAGCCCAUAGCUCAACUAUGGAACUGCCAUUGAUACUGGUUUUCUUGAAUUUGAUUGAAGUAGGCGGAAUAUGACAUGUAGCGGUGAAAUGCUUAGAUAUGUCAUAGAACACCGAUAGCGAAGGCAGCUUACUAAGUCAACAUUGACGCUGAGGCACGAAAGCGUGGGGAGCGAACAGGAUUCGAUA